UUCUUCUUCUUUCUGUCCGUUCUUCCUUUUCUCCCGCCUCUUUCCCUUUCUCUUCUUCCUCAAUUUCUCCUUCUUUCUGUAAAGGUUUAUUCAACGCCUGCUCACUGCUUCAAGAGCUGAGAAUGUAGUGAAUAGACAAAAAUACCUGCCCUCAUGGAGCUUACAUUCUAGUCGGGUAAAACACAAUGUCCCUGACCCUGUAAUUCUGUGAUCUCCUAUUGUAAUUGGGACCAACUUCUCUCUAGACUUGCUGGGCAGCUAAGGCACUGGCUCUUGCUUUUGCCUCUUUCCUGAGCUGGAUCUCUUGUUUCCUGGGUUCUAUGAGUUCCUUUUGCAAGGUUUUCUCCCUUGCACUCCACUCACUUCCUGAGAAAGGGGCAUGGAAGAGAAAUUUCUGAUACCUUAUGUAUCUGGAAAGGUGGCUGGCCCAUACAGGGAUUGAACACUGGACCUUGGUGUUAUUAGCACCACACUCUAACCAGCUGAGCUAACCGGCAAGCCCAUU